GCGGGGAAAGAAGACCCUGUUGAGCUUGACUCUAGUUUGACAUUGUGAAAAGACAUAGAGGGUGUAGAAUAAGUGGGAGCUCCGGCGCCAGUGAAAUACCACUACCUUUAUCGUUUUUUUACUUAUUCAAUAAAGCGGAACUGGGUGUCAAAGCCCAACUUCUAGCAUUAAGGUCCUUCGCGGGCUGAUCCGGGUUGAUGACAUUGUCAGGUGGGGAGUUUGGCUGGGGCGGCAC
rnacentral:rRNA from 1 species